AUUGAACGCUGGCGGCAUGCCUUACACAUGCAAGUCGAACGGCAGCACGGGAGCAAUCCUGGUGGCGAGUGGCCGAACGGGUGAGUAAUAUAUCGGAACGUGCCCAGUAGUGGGGGAUAACCCGGCGAAAGCCGGACUAAUACCGCAUACGACCUACGGGUGAAAGCAGGGGAUCGCAAGACCUUGCGCUAUCGGAGCGGCCGAUAUCAGAUUAGCUUGUUGGUGGGGUAAAAGCCUACCAAGGCGACGAUCUGUAGCUGGUCUGAGAGGACGACCAGCCACACUGGGACUGAGACACGGCCCAGACUCCUACGGGAGGCAGCAGUGGGGAAUUUUGGACAAUGGGCGCAAGCCUGAUCCAGCCAUGCCGCGUGC
rnacentral:rRNA from 1 species